rnacentral:lncRNA from 1 species
UUUAUGGACACUCCACUCAAAGCGUAUUACAAGUAAUGAGGAAUCCCACUAUCACCACCAGUGUACAGCCCCACCUGGAUGAUGCUCCAGUACUCUCACCACACACCAGCUAUCAGUGGGGAGGAGAGCAGAGUGAUGAAGCCAGUUCAGAAAUGGGAAUUAUUAUGAGGCCAUGAUUGGUAAAGACCAGGGGAAAAUUUGAUCAGGACACUUAGGUAACACCCCUACUCUUUUCGGGAAACACCCUGGGAUUUUUAAUGCCCACAGAGAGUCAGGACCAGGGUUUUAAGUCUCAUCCGAAGGACAGCACCUUUUACAGUAUUGUGUCCCCAUCUCUAUACUGGGGCCUUAGGACGCACACAACUGCAGGGUGAGCGCCCCCUACUGGCCCCCCCAACACCUCUUCCAGCAGCAGCCUUAGCUUUCCCAGGAGUCUCCCAUCCAGGUACUGACCAGACUCACACCUGCUGAGCUCCAGUGGGGCUGCCAGCUGUGAGCUGUGAGCUGCAGGGUGAUAGAGCUGCUGGCUAAACAUCCGUCUGUCUGUUGUCCACAGUACAUGGAGCAAAACAAAGGAGCCUGUGCUCUCACUGGGGACGAGUUCAGUCUGUUGACAUACAACAAGGAGACCCUGCUGGAGGACAGCUGGCCAGAGCAGAAUCCGGACAGUCUUGUUGACGCUGGCCCGGCUGACAGGAAACAGGUCAGUCUGUGUUUCUGCCUCUGUCUGUCCUCCCCCGACCUUCCUGACCAGCAGGGAGUCAGGGUGUCUGCAGGUGUAUCAGUCAGUCUCCCACUCUCUUCAGCUCCGAGAUGAGGCUUUUUAUAAGGGCGCCCUAUGACUGGAUUGCACUUAGUCUGCACCAACGUCUGC